rnacentral:rRNA from 1 species
UCUGUAUGUGAAACCUGCGGAUGGAUCAUUACCGAGUUUACAACUCCCAAACCCAAUGUGAACGUUACCAAACUGUUGCCUCGGCGGGUUCACGCCCCGGGUGCGUCGCAGCCCCGGAACCAGGCGCCCGCCGGAGGAACCAACCAAACUCUUUCUGUAGUCCCCUCGCGGACGUAUUUCUUACAGCUCUGAGCAAAAAUUCAAAAUGAAUCAAAACUUUCAACAACGGAUCUCUUGGUUCUGGCAUCGAUGAAGAACGCAGCGAAAUGCGAUAAGUAAUGUGAAUUGCAGAAUUCAGUGAAUCAUCGAAUCUUUGAACGCACAUUGCGCCCGCCAGUAUUCUGGCGGGCAUGCCUGUCCGAGCGUCAUUUCAACCCUCGAACCCCUCCGGGGGAUCGGCGUUGGGGAUCGGGACCCCUCACACGGGUGCCGGCCCCUAAAUACAGUGGCGGUCUCGCCGCAGCCUCUCCUGCGCAGUAGUUUGCACAACUCGCACCGGGAGCGCGGCGCGUCCACGUCCGUAAAACACCCAACUUUCUGAAAUGUUGACCUCGGAUCAGGUAGGAAUACCCGCUGAACU